GGCUUUAUAUUCAAUUAUGAUUCUAGACUGCAAUUCUAGAGGUGUAGUAAUAUUACUAAGGCCU
rnacentral:tRNA from 1 species